GCAAGGACUGGAAUCGCAUGCAGUUGAUAAGUCUGCAACCCGCAGUGCACAGGACACUGUCAAAAAGACGCAUAAGGAUCUGCUUUUCUCUUCAGCAGAGAAGACGAAAGCUGUGUGGUAAGUUCUUUCAAUUUUCUUCUCUUUUCCACUCGAUUUUCUUUCUUGAUGAAUUGAACUCAGCUGAUAUGGUCGAAAUAUUCCAUCUUUUCAAAUAUUUUUUGCGCUUUGAAUUCUUUUUCUUUUUUAGAUGUAUGAUUUCUCAAUUUAAUCUAAUAUGUGAAAUUGUAUGAUUUGAAUUCUGUUUGAGAGAUGGAGAAGUUUCUUAUGAGUAGUUGCUUCUUUUUUUAGUAACCUUCCAACUUAGGUCAUUGGGAAUUCUUACGAACAUCGGAAUUGUGAGAUUGAAGCGAAAGCUUUUGUUGGAAAAUCAUCUUUCCUAACAAUCUGAAGAAGACGAUGUUUUGAAAUGCAAAUUUAUUAUUCCUUACUGAUACUAUCUAGUAGGUAGAACAACAAAUCGAAACCCCAAUUCCUCAUACUGAAAAAGCAUACUAUUAGAUUUCAAAACCUGUUUAAGUUUCAGAGCCAAUCUUCGGAGGUGUUUCCGCCAUUUGAAGAGCGAGACCAGUACUCCUUGACAAGCUGGCCAAACAGCGAUCCCUCCUUCUUUAUCAGCUUCAUUGGCUCAUCAUACUCUACCAAUUUUCCUACAGAAGCAGAAGCGCAAGUUAUUUGAAUCGGUUUUACUCAAUUGAUCCCAACUAGAAUGAAAUGUUCCUUCAUAGAAACUUACCAUCGCUGAUAGCAAGCACCAUUGUGCAGUCCAUCACGGUUGGGAUUCUGUGGGCUACUGUUAUUACAGUGCAGUCUGCAAAUUCUGUCCUUAUCGUCUUCUGGAGAAUGGAGUCGGUUGCAUUGUCUAUGGAUGCAGUGGCUUCAUCAAGCACUAGUAUCCGACUUCUCCUCAGUAGAGCACGUCCCAAACAGAAUAAUUGUCGCUGGCCCAUGCUCCAAUUUGAUCCGUCUUGUACAACUGUAGGGGAGAGAUUGUUAGCAAGAGUUUAUGAGUCCAAAGAAUGGUACCUGUGUGUAUUAUGCUUCAUACCUAAGGAGUCCAGACCCUCUUCUUUCUCUUGAACAGCCCCUCGAAGUUGACAUUUUUCCAGAACCUUUCACACAUUCAUGAGAAACAAUCUUAGUGUAGGAUAUAAAGUAAAUUUACCUUAUUAGGAAUCUGUUCUUUUUCAAGGCACUACCACGACAAACAUUUGGUAUGGAAAGAAAAUUAGGAGGUAUUUAACAGCAUUCUAAAAGAUCUUUGGCUUCCAAAACACAGAAUAUCAGGAGCUAGAUCAAGGGAGUUCAAAAUUUAACAGCGUUUAAUUAGUUUGAUAGUAUAGAAACCACCAUGUCUAUGCACUUAAGAGUGAAGCCUGCUUCAUAUCACUGGCAGAAUCUUUUAGGAAUCUGUAUCAUAUCAUGAUUGAAUCCUAAAAUUAGCAACCACAACAAAUUAAUAGGCAACUCACCUCCCAUAUUUCCUCAUCAGUAUGCAGUGAUAAAGGGUCAAGAUUGUAUCUUACAGCUCCGCUAAAAAGAGUUGGUUCUUGUGGAAUGAUCCCAAGACGUGAUCUGAGAUCAUGAAGCCCAAUUGUGGAAAUAUUUAUGCCAUCUAUAAUUAUCUGUCCCUCUGUAGGCUCUACCAAGCGAAACAAAGUGCUGAUAAGUGUUGUCUUUCCACUACCAGUCCGGCCAACAAUCCCAAUUUUCUGUCCUCCUCCAAUUUUGCAACUAAUUCCUUGAAGAACUAGAGGAGCAUUGGGCCGAUACUUAACCUGCUCAAUGUCAUUUCAUCUACCAUAUUAAUAUCUAUAAAUCUUGAAGUUGUAGAAUAGACACAGAUUCCCAAAUUCUUACUGAUUUCACGUUUACCUUCAAAUCAUAAAUUUCCACUUCACCAAUAGCAGGCCAACUGAGUGGUGGUUGAUAGCUCUCUAUGACGGCAGGGGCUUCGCUAGGAAUAUUCAUGAACUGUUCUAAUCUUUCAACAGAAACAAUCAUAUUUGCUAAAAGGCACUGGCUUUGGACAGAAAAUACGAGGAAUAUAUUCACUGAAAGACCAUAUGACAAUGCCAUUCCAAUAAAUCCUGCCAUCAGAACAUUGACAACGAAAAUGCUCGUUAGACAAUAAUUCCAUAAAUGGUUGUCUAUUACUAAGAUUUCUUUAAAUAUCAAAUUGACCAAGUUAUUUUUGAAUAUCAAAUACUGUGCAUGUAGGAAGUUAGUAGAAGGGUUUUUCUAUUAGAUUAUGCACUGAUCUGUUCCUAUGAUUAUUUUGUAAGAAUGGUGGGCUAUUUAGCUCACUUUGUUCUUGAUAUAACCCAAGUUUCUAGUUAUGAUGUUGAGAAAGUUGGAGCUAAAAUGGGUUGAUUAUAGUGAUUUUUUAUUACUACCAACAGGGCAGCUAUUGUUUCAUGAUCUACAAAGCCCUAUCUUGUAUUCGUUUCACUCUACUCAAGGUCAAGUAGGAAACUAAGAUAGGUAACUUUCUGAUUUAAUGUUGGAUAUUUUUAUUGGAUUAUAGGUCAUCACUGAAUUGCCUCUAAAUAUUUCAUCCUUUUGAAGUUCCUUUUUUCCAGUGAGAAAUAUGAAAAUUUAGUGGAGGCCCUUGGUUGUUCAUCUCCUUUUUCCGUUAAAAACAUAUGCUAGCUAGCAAGCAGUCAUAGCAGGCAACAGAAAAUAUUUUUUGUCUUGAGGUUUUGAUCCUUUUGGAGAAUUUAUUAUUUGUGCCCUUAAUCAGACACUUCAUAUUUAUCAUUUUCUGGUUGUAGAUCUUACCUACUGAAAAAUCCUAACAUUAUCCUUUUGUGAGGAUCAAAAUUCACAUGGUCAAUUACUAUUCUCAAAGUUGCACAAGCCCCCUUAGGCUAAACAUGUUAUAAACUUCUAGGAUGUUAAACUGUUGAAAUUGGAGCAAAGAGAGAGUUUUAAGCAACUGCAAUGACAAUUAAGGUUAUGGCAUGGACCUUCUAAUUUAGUGUCCAUUCUCAUUGGUAAUAUAGUUAGCCUCUUUGAGUACAUUCAAGCUAUCUUGGAUUUUGCCUAGUUUGUUCCAUCAAACUAAUGGAUAGUGGAGCAUGCAAAGUUAGGGAUAGGAAGGACCUGUAAUUUCGAUAGUGUCUUGACUUUGCAGUUUGGUACCCUCAUGGAACCCUCUGGGAAAGAAAAAUGAUAAAGAGUAUUUUUGGUGUUUUUCUUUUGGAAAUGGAAAGAAAAAUUGCAGAUCUCUAGAUGAUAUUGGGCAUUUUAGUUCAGGUAAGGCCAGUGAUCUGGGUGGCUUCUAUGGGAAAAAGCUUCAAGUUGCUGCAAGUUAAGAAUGCAAUAGGGUGAGGGGAAGGCUGAAUGUUACAUGGGUAGAAUUCAUAAAAUAGAUCAAAAUCUCACAUGUUGAAUGGUGACUUGUCUUACUAUCAGGUGAAAUGGCUGGAUAGGAUACUUGUAAUUAAACCAAGAUUGUGAUUCAAAUGGUACUUGUAGG
rnacentral:lncRNA from 1 species